CAAUACCUGUGUUUUGAUAGUCAAGGCUGCUAACGAGGACUUGUAUGUUUUUUCUGAAUGAAAGUUGUUGACAAAGGCUUGGUGCCUUUACGAAAAACCGUUGUGAACUUUACAAAGCUUUGGAAGAAAAACUGUAAGGCCAAACGAGCUGGUUCUGUUGAUGGAAGACCCAGACCGUCAAAAUGUAACAGUGGGUGUUGAUUACGUGGAUUUAAGACCCAGGGCUUGUGAUUCAUCGAUGCGGGUAAACCCUGUCCCUGAUGAGCUUACUAGAGGACCGGUGCCAGCGAACCAGAACCAGAAUCUUA